rnacentral:rRNA from 1 species
GGUUAAGUUAGAAAGGGCGCACGGUGGAUGCCUUGGCACUAGGAGCCGAUGAAGGACGGGACGAACACCGAUAUGCUUCGGGGAGCUGUAAGCAAGCUUUGAUCCGGAGAUUUCCGAAUGGGGAAACCCACCACUCGUAAUGGAGUGGUAUCCAUAUCUGAAUACAUAGGAUAUGAGAAGGCAGACCCGGGGAACUGAAACAUCUAAGUACCCGGAGGAAGAGAAAGCAAAUGCGAUUCCCUGAGUAGCGGCGAGCGAAACGGGACCAGCCCAAACCAAGAGGCUUGCCUCUUGGGGUUGUAGGACACUCUGUACGGAGUUACAAAGGAACGAGGUAGAUGAAGAGGUCUGGAAAGGCCCGCCAUAGGAGGUAACAGCCCUGUAGUCAAAACUUCGUUCUCUCCUGAGUGGAUCCUGAGUACGGCGGAACACGUGAAAUUCCGUCGGAAUCCGGGAGGACCAUCUCCCAAGGCUAAAUACUCCCUAGUGACCGAUAGUGAACCAGUACCGUGAGGGAAAGGUGAAAAGCACCCCGGAAGGGGAGUGAAAGAGAUCCUGAAACCGUGUGCCUACAAGUAGUCAGAGCCCGUUAACGGGUGAUGGCGUGCCUUUUGUAGAAUGAACCGGCGAGUUACGAUCCCGUGCAAGGUUAAGCAGAAGAUGCGGAGCCGCAGCGAAAGCGAGUCUGAAUAGGGCGAAUUGAGUACGUGGUCGUAGACCCGAAACCAGGUGAUCUACCCAUGUCCAGGGUGAAGUUCAGGUAACACUGAAUGGAGGCCCGAACCCACGCACGUUGAAAAGUGCGGGGAUGAGGUGUGGGUAGGGGUGAAAUGCCAAUCGAACCUGGAGAUAGCUGGUUCUCUCCGAAAUAGCUUUAGGGCUAGCCUCAAGGUAAGAGUCUCGGAGGUAGAGCACUGAUUGGACUAGGGGCCCCUACCGGGUUACCGAAUUCAGUCAAACUCCGAAUGCCGAUGACUUAUCCUUGGGAGUCAGACUGCGAGUGAUAAGAUCCGUAGUCGAAAGGGAAACAGCCCAGACCGCCAGCUAAGGUCCCAAAGUAUACGUUAAGUGGAAAAGGAUGUGGAGUUGCUUAGACAACCAGGAUGUUGGCUUAGAAGCAGCCACCAUUUAAAGAGUGCGUAAUAGCUCACUGGUCGAGUGACUCUGCGCCGAAAAUGUACCGGGGCUAAACGUAUCACCGAAGCUGCGGACUGUUCUUCGAACAGUGGUAGGAGAGCGUUCUAAGGGCUGUGAAGCAAGACCGGAAGGACUUGUGGAGCGCUUAGAAGUGAGAAUGCCGGUAUGAGUAGCGAAAGAGGGGUGAGAAUCCCCUCCACCGAAUGCCUAAGGUUUCCUGAGGAAGGCUCGUCCGCUCAGGGUUAGUCGGGACCUAAGCCGAGGCCGAAAGGCGUAGGCGAUGGAUAACAGGUUGAUAUUCCUGUACCACCUCCUCACCAUUUGAGCAAUGGGGGGACGCAGGAGGAUAGGGUAAGCGCGGUAUUGGAUAUCCGCGUCCAAGCAGUUAGGCUGGGAAAUAGGCAAAUCCGUUUCCCGUGAAGGCUGAGCUGUGAUGGCGAGCGAAUUAUAGUAGCGAAGUUCCUGAUUCCACACUGCCAAGAAAAGCCUCUAGCGAGGUGAGAGGUGCCCGUACCGCAAACCGACACAGGUAGGCGAGGAGAGAAUCCUAAGGUGAUCGAGAGAACUCUCGUUAAGGAACUCGGCAAAAUGACCCCGUAACUUCGGGAGAAGGGGUGCUCUGUUAGGGUGAAAGCCCGAGAGAGCCGCAGUGAAUAGGCCCAGGCGACUGUUUAGCAAAAACACAGGUCUCUGCGAAGCCGUAAGGCGAAGUAUAGGGGCUGACGCCUGCCCGGUGCUGGAAGGUUAAGAGGAGCGCUUAGCGUAAGCGAAGGUGCGAAUUGAAGCCCCAGUAAACGGCGGCCGUAACUAUAACGGUCCUAAGGUAGCGAAAUUCCUUGUCGGGUAAGUUCCGACCCGCACGAAAGGCGCAACGAUCUGGGCACUGUCUCAACGAGAGACUCGGUGAAAUUAUAGUACCUGUGAAGAUGCAGGUUACCCGCGACAGGACGGAAAGACCCCGUGGAGCUUUACUGCAGCCUGAUAUUGAAUGUUGGUACAGCUUGUACAGGAUAGGUAGGAGCCUUGGAAACCGGAGCGCCAGCUUCGGUGGAGGCAUCGGUGGGAUACUACCCUGGCUGUAUUGACCUUCUAACCCGCCGCCCUUAUCGGGCGGGGAGACAGUGUCAGGUGGGCAGUUUGACUGGGGCGGUCGCCUCCUAAAAGGUAACGGAGGCGCCCAAAGGUUCCCUCAGAAUGGUUGGAAAUCAUUCGCAGAGUGUAAAGGCACAAGGGAGCUUGACUGCGAGACCUACAAGUCGAGCAGGGACGAAAGUCGGGCUUAGUGAUCCGGUGGUUCCGCAUGGAAGGGCCAUCGCUCAACGGAUAAAAGCUACCCCGGGGAUAACAGGCUUAUCUCCCCCAAGAGUCCACAUCGACGGGGAGGUUUGGCACCUCGAUGUCGGCUCAUCGCAUCCUGGGGCUGUAGUCGGUCCCAAGGGUUGGGCUGUUCGCCCAUUAAAGCGGUACGCGAGCUGGGUUCAGAACGUCGUGAGACAGUUCGGUCCCUAUCCGUCGCGGGCGCAGGAAAUUUGAGAGGAGCUGUCCUUAGUACGAGAGGACCGGGAUGGACGCACCGCUGGUGUACCAGUUGUUCUGCCAAGGGCAUCGCUGGGUAGCUAUGUGCGGACGGGAUAAGUGCUGAAAGCAUCUAAGCAUGAAGCCCCCCUCAAGAUGAGAUUUCCCAUUCCGCAAGGAAGUAAGAUCCCUGAAAGAUGAUCAGGUUGAUAGGUCUGAGGUGGAAGUGUGGCGACACAUGGAGCUGACAGAUACUAAUCGAUCGAGGACUUAACCAA